GUCUUCUCUUCCGUUGGGCUUCUUGUUGGGUCGUAGUUUUCCCAUGCAUGUUCCUGCUGGUUCUCCCUGGGUUCCUGUGCCUCGUGUUCCUGGUUAUUCAAAUGGAAAUGAAUCCCACUGGUGAUCCCCUAACUCCCUUCCAGUGCCAACAUAAUGGGAAAUUGACACCACCAUCACCAUCAACCAGGGUUUCCUCCAUCAUCAGAAGCUGUGCACAACAGCAAACCCUCCCAGAUCUUCAGGUAUUUGCUUCACAUCUUCACCACCUGGCUUUGUCUCCAUCUGGGGAAUAUUCCUUCACUACUUACUGCAUGGGCAUCAACUAAAACCAAACUGGGAAGAGGCAAAGUGCAGCUGCUGCAGGGAAUUGCCAUUAUGUGCAGCCAGGAUGCUUUUCAUGUGUUUCAAGAGGAGAUAAUUUGCUGUGAUGUUGGUUAAACGGUCAGGCGUUAAUUACUGACGACAUCUUCCUCCCUGUGCCGGAGCGAUCCUCAGCAGCUUCAGACUGAGGGAGAUUUCCCAACCAAGCCGAGCUGCCAGCAGACAUCCCCCUCUCCAGAAACCACCCGUUAGACAAAGCUAUUACUUUAGAUCAAGCUCUUCUCCUGCUGCGGUCCCCGGCGCUGGGUGUCUAUGGAAACAACCAGACCUCAGCCUCUCUGCAGAGACGAUCGACUUACACCGAGUGAACCCUGAGAAAAAGUCCUCCUUUGCAUUGAAAACCCCUUCCUUCACAA